rnacentral:rRNA from 2 species
UGGGGAAUAUUGCACAAUGGGGGAAACCCUGAUGCAGCGACGCCGCGUGAGCGAAGAAGGUUUUCGAAUCGUAAAGCUCUGUUGAUAGAGAAGAUAAUGACAGUAUCUAUCGAGGAAGCCCCGGCUAACUACGUGCCAGCAGCCGCGGUAAUACGUAGGGGGCGAGCGUUGUCCGGAAUUACUGGGCGUAAAGGGUUCGCAGGCGGCAAAUCAAGUCAGAUGUGAAAGGUAGAGGCUCAACCUCUAUAAGCAUUUGAAACUGAAUUGCUUGAGUAGUGGAGAGGCAAGUGGAAUUCCUAGUGUAGCGGUGAAAUGCGUAGAUAUUAGGAGGAAUACCAGUGGCGAAGGCGACUUGCUGGACACAAACUGACGCUGAGGAACGAAAGCGUGGGGAGCAAACA